AUGGGACAGAACUGGGGCGGCCUGGCAAGGCAUGAACAGGUUUCUGAGUUCUGGAGUGCCUUGAAACCUUUCUGUGUUCCAGAAAACUCCCUACCAAAAAUUCUGUGUCAGUUUUCCAACACAAGUCCUCACCAGAAUUUUCCCACUGGAGUUUUCCUGCCAAAGGAUCCUGUUAUUGUUCAUGGUUAUCAUAUCUGCGAACAUCUGGAUAGGGCUACGUGCCAAGAAACCACACACAACCUCCUUUGAACACUAUAAAAGUGGAGGAGAAAUUUGGGAAAAGCAGGGAAAGAGGAGUGGGAGAGAGAGCUGGCUAUAGCAGCUGAGAGUCUCUGCCCCACGUCGCCCUCACCUUUUCUUCUGCCACCGUGAGCUGCCCGCCCCUCAGCAGAGACCAGACCUCUGCCGUCCUGAACUGGACUGAGCCCCCCCGAGCCACCCGCGGGAGUUCCCCGCCCUGACCACAUCGGUGAGGGCCGAGAGCUGGGGCUGGAGCGGGACCUCUGCGCGGGCUGGGAGCGGCAGGGACACAGACCAGGCCCAGCACUGCUGCUCUCUCUGUGCCCCAGCCCACAGAGCAGCUCGGCGCAAGGGAGCUUUGCUGCUAGCUUUUCUCUGCUUCUAAAAGCAAUCGCAGCAUUUCCCAACCUUUUCUGAUUUUUUCCUCUUUGCAUCUCUUAGCAAUUAAUAAAAAGAGUUUUGGUAUCA
rnacentral:lncRNA from 1 species